ensembl:lncRNA
GAUUGACUCACUUUUGCAGCUAGACGAGGUGAGGUCUCCAGUUUUUAUUUUAUUUUGUGACUAUACUGCGCUUUGUUUAUUUAUUAUCCAGUUUGGUGUUGGGCUGCUGUUGUUGUCGCUGUCCCCUCCUGUCUGCUCAUACUGUCAAGUGGCUGAACUCUAACGGGAUGCUGCUCCGUCUUUGUCUUCUGCUUUGCCUUCCUCCGCUUCCUCCUUGUCCACGUCUCGUUCCGUUCCUCCUUUUUGUCCGUUUUUGUCGCCCUCCCUCCCUCUGUCUCCGUUCUUUCUCUCUGUCGCUCUACCUCAGGUCUGACGCCUGCUCUGGCUUGUGCUCCUAGUAGAGAGGUGGCUGACUGUUUGGCUCUCAUUCUGGCUACCAUGAUGCCUUUCUGCUCACCUUGCAGCUCUGGAGCUCCCUCCCCAGGGUCCUUGUUGAGGCAUAUACCCCACCAGGGGGGUAAAGGCCUAUCCACUGGCCCUCGGGCGUCACGCAGCCCCAGGAACCCCUCGGGACCAUCCAGCGAGGGAACCACAGAGAACGACUCGGAGGAUUCGGAAACUUUCUGACCCCUCUGAACCGACUCUCUAGCUUCCUACCUCGAAGAGUGCACGUGAACGUCUUACCUCUCUCCUCGUCGAGGAAUGAUGCAGUGUUUGAGUGCACAACUGAGGGAGAAGGAUAGAGACUUGGUCAUUCAUAGAGCCCAUAAAAGUUCAAUAUUAAAUAAAUAACUUGUGGACAAAAACUAAUCGUAAGAUGAGUUGGAAUAUUUUCUAUUAGAUGGUUAAAUAAUAUUCAUAUUUCUCAUGUCUUCUAUUUGUUUAGUAUUGAACCUUUGGUGCUCCACAUGCAGUGUCUAUAUCUUCUGUUCCUCAUGUUGGGAACAUGAACAUGAACUGAAUCGCUCUGCUUUGACGCCAGGCUGGAGACCCUGCAGCUUUUUUUUUUUUAGUGCUCUUUUUUUAAAAGAAAAACCAAGAUGGGAGCAGCUGCACUGCCCAGGACUGACUGACUGGAGCCCAACGAGUCGCUCUGUGAACAAGAACUCGAUCUGGACCAGUUGGGGUUUGGGUCUGCAUGCUUGUGUUAAUUUACACCACGGUUCAUUCUUUCUACUCACGGGUGCUUAAAUCCAAACAACCUCGGUACUUAGUCUCUGCACGGCACAGCAGCUCGCUGCGGAGACUCGUGUUGUCUUUUUAAAAGAAGCCAUUUUUAACUGUUUGUACAAAACGAAGGAGACUAUUAAGAAAUCAGAGUGUAAUUUUAAACUUUUUAUGAUUUAGGCUUGUUGUACCAAAUAUUUGACUUUCACGAGUAAAUAAUGAACAUGUGGUAAAAGGUCACAUAAACAGGUACAUAGAGCUUGUUUUUAACUGUUUAACAGCUGAAGCACAAAUUUGUAGGUUUUUGUUUGGUUUUGAUGAUGUUUGGAUAGAAUGUGAGUUCUGUGGCCUCUCCGAGAGACGUUCCUAGUUCAAAUGUAGACCAGAAUAGAGGAUACGAAACACUAGGUACAUCUCAAUGACCUUAACAUCGAGAAAUCCAGACGACACAGCUCUGACAAAACAUUCCUCAAGCCUGAUUUAGAGUUCUUUGGUAAAUCAUGGUAGAGCUUACCAUGUGUAACCCACAUAAGUGGCCGUCAGCAUUUAUGUGCUGGUUCAUUACAUGUUAAUUACCAAGUGGGUAUGUCCAGGCAGCUGAUGGAAACAUCCUGGGUAAACGUAUUUGUCCCUUAAGUUUUUCCACUUCUUUCCACAUUCCCUCACGGCCAUUAAUAAAUAAAUAUCCCAAGUUCGUUUCAGUUCCACAGUCACGUGUGUUUCAGCAUAAAUUUACAUGCUAAUGCAAACACUCAGGCACAAAGCUGUGUUCACAAGAGCUGAACAGUAAUAAUGAUAGUCUGUUAAUGUUAAACAAGUUAACGUUAGCCUCAAGAAGACAUGGAUACAUGCUACGUUAGCAUAAUCCUGACAAACCUUUUGCCAUGUUAGCCAUUCUAGACUUUUCAUGUUGAAGGAUGCAUUUAAAUCUGAUUUAAUUUUAUAUUAAUCAAAGCAUGGUACAUUUUAUGGUAGUAUAGUAGCUACACAGAUAAGUCAAAAACCUAGUUCAAUUAAAAAAAGGAUAGCGUUAGCAGUGCUGUUAGCCUAAAGAAAAUAGCUGCUACAUUAGCACAAAGUGUUUUUACUAUAUUAGAUCAAAACUAGCGUUAUCUAAUGUUAUUGUUCAGGACAUUUUUCAAAACAUUCAGUAUUAUCAGUAUGUGGUGUAAAGUCAAGAACUAAUGUAUCACAGGUGGAGUUGUAGAUAUUAACCAUGGGGGUUAGCAUUGCUGCUAUGCUACAACCAGCCUGGGGGUUCUUCCAAUUUAAAUUCAGACUGAAGAGAUAAAGAUGCUUGUGUCCACCACUUGAAUGAGUUCCUGUGGCCAUGAAACACAGGCUGUUCUCUUGAUUCUUUGAAGUAACAUCUGCACUUUUAAUAGAGUGAUGUGAUAAGGUAAUGGGGAUGUACCUAGUGAUGAAUAUAAGGUCUGUGGAGAUCAGAUUGAAAGAUGAGAUUAUGACUAAGAUUUAUGCAUUUUGUCCUCUGGCCUUGAAUGGCCAUCUGCACUGUUUUCACUCCAUUUGUAUCCCUACCUGUUGUGUUGUGCAUGCUUGCACACUUCCAGGCAAAGCUUUUUUUUUUUUGUACUUUAAUGUUUAAUCGUGAAUGCCCAGAUUCUCAACAAAGACCAAAUUUCUGAGGCAAUGAAAAGCUCUGUUUAGCUCUGUUGUGCUAUAUAUGAUCCAUUACACGAUGGUACAAACAAUGCCAGCACUUCAAUGUAAAUUAACACAGGGCUUUGACCGCUUUCCUCACAUUCCUCCCCACUGUUUGUCGCCCUGCCAGCUAUGUGCCAUUGUUUCAAAUGUGUCCAGUGCCUUGAUGAGUCUUUUUUUUUUCUUUUAUGACAUAUCCUGUGCUAGUAGUUGGAAAGGAUGAGUUCACUAUUAUUGCAAAAUAGGAAAAGUGUUGGUGGUACCAAGCGGUGCAGAUUUUGGCCAUGCUUUGAGAGAUUUACCUCAGACCUCUACCAGCAGCAAGGUGGAGGACGUUUUAUUGUUUGUGUAGGUUUUUCGCCUUUUGUACACACCAGACACUUUUAAAAGUGAGAAUAAAGUUCCAAACCAGCCGUCAGUCAUGAGGAGCUGCUAAAUGGAUUUGAAGGUCAAACUUGUAAAACCAGACUUGAUGUGCUGCUGAAGGUCAUAUGAUGUGACUGAAAGCACAGUUACUGAAUGGACCUAUAAAUAUAAAUCUCACUGCGGAAGAAAGAAUGAAUACUUGAUUCAUCGUUUAAGUUGGGAAAUUACUGAAACAGUGAAAACAGCGAGCCCUUUCUCCUCUCCGUGGAGGUGCAAAGCUUAAAACCUGGACAAACAAAAACUAGGCGUGGCUGAGCACCACCGGGUACCAACAGUUUUGUUGAAAUUGUGUGAACUUUUUCUUUAAUGCGUUGAGCUAAAUAUGAGUCGCUAUGUUGUAUUGAAUGACAGUGUUUGACACAGUUUUGGUUGUUUUGUUUCCUUAAACCUCUGAGGUCUAAGUCAUCAUUUGUUUUUGAGUUUUUGGAAAAAAUGUGAAUUGUUUUUCGUGUCGUCAGUUGAACUGAUUGUUUCUUUGGCCUCUGAUUGCCAAGAUUUUGGAGAACAAAGUAAUAAAAAAGAAAAAAUGAUGUUUGCUUGCCGAGGGUUAGUUAGGGGUCACCACCAGUGACAACUUAGACCUGAGAGAGUUAAAGGCUGGAGAUUUAAUCCCCCUAAUUUUAUUGUCAACAAAUCCACUGCUCCAUAAAUCCUUUUGUUCCUCAUGAAAAGUCCGAUGAUUUCCACUGAAAUGUCCGGGAACUUUCCAAAGAACUAAAAGUCUCUUUGGCUCUGGUUACCUGUGUGACUGUCAGUUUCCUUUUGUUUUUAUCUCACCAGCUGAUUCCCAUUGAUGUUGAUGACCAUUAGACAGCAACAGCAAUAAAUUAAGUAGGUUUUACAGUCAGACCUCAUACUCUCCUGCUAGAUGAUUAACUCGUAAUACUCACCCAGUUGUAUACUUUGGAAGGCUUUGAUUUCCAAAGUAUUCCGAGUGGAAAGCGGUUUAUUCUUCUGUUAUUAUUGUUACACGAGUGAGUCUUACUACAGCAAGAUCGAUUGCAACUUUGUAACAAAAGUCGAGGCCUGCGGCUCAGAGCAAGGACUUAGUUAUCAGUCAUUUGUUGACAAUAAGAAAAAAAGACAAUAUCUCCAGCCGUGUGUGUGUGUGUGUGUGUGUGUGUGUGUGUGUGUGCACUAGCUUAGGUACUGAUAUGAAAUCCACCUGCUUUUUUGUAAAUUAUGUACUGUAAAGAAAAGCUUUGUAUGAAGAAAACCUCCAUCCCAGAUGGUUUUGUUUGACUUUGGAUUUGAAACGUAAUGAGUUGUGAAUCCUGUUAGCUGCCAGAUAAGCACACAUUGUUAGCAAGCACAGUCUUUACUGCCUCCGCUGUCCCUGAGAGACAGAGCCUGUCCGCCAGUAUUCAACCAGAAAAUGAGCUUCAGCAGGCCUGACAAUCGUCGUGUGAUUUUCAUACCAGUUCCUGAUGCAGUACGGCAUGCUGAGGGCUGUUUGUCACCUCCACUUUGUUUUAUAUUAACUGUACAACAAUAAAAAUCUGUUUG